AGUGAACGCUGGCGGCAGGCCUAAUACAUGCAAGUCGAACGGCAGCACAGCAGAGCUUGCUCUGUGGGUGGCGAGUGGCGGACGGGUGAGGAAUACGUGGGAAUCUGCCCAGUCGUGGGGAUAACGUAGGGAAACUUACGCUAAUACCGCAUGCGCCCUUCGGGGAAAGCCGGGGACCUUCGGGCCUGGCGCGAUUGGAUGAGCCCACGUCGGAUUAGCUAGUUGGCGGGGUAAAGGCCCACCAAGGCGACGAUCCGUAGCUGGUCUGAGAGGAUGAUCAGCCACACUGGAACUGAGACACGGUCCAGACUCCUACGGGAGGCAGCAGUAGGGAAUAUUGGACAAUGGGCGCAAGCCUGAUCCAGCCAUGCCGCGUGAGUGAAGAAGGCCCUCGGGUUGUAAAGCUCUUUGUCCGGAAAGAAAAGCGCCGGGUUAAUACCCUGGUGUCCUGACGGUACCGGAAGAAUAAGCACCGGCUAAC
rnacentral:rRNA from 1 species